GCCGAGGUGGCGGAAUGGCAGACGCGCACGACUCAAAAUCGUGUAGGGCUUAAACCCUGUGAGAGUUCGACUCUCUCCCCCGGCA
rnacentral:tRNA from 1 species